AGCGCGCUCUCUCCUCCAGUCCGGUGCCCCGGCCCAGCGUCCCCGUACCGUCCACCUGCGCCGGGCCAGAGCCUCACUCCUUCUGCUGCGGCGCGCGCCCCGCCUCUCCUUUUAUAGCCUCCUCCCUUUUCCCCCCCACCCCGCGGGGUGCGCGCGCCCGCUCGCGUCACACAGCUGGGGCCGCGAAACCUGUCCCCGCCCCCCAAGUCCUGAGCCAGCCGGCUCCGCCCCUACCCCGCCCCCCAACGCCAUUGGCCAAGUCCCGCCUGACCACGUCCCGCCGGGCGGUGCCGAGCCCGGAGAACGGGAAGGUCGCACCCCCAGGCUCCGAGAUGGCCAAUGAUCCACAGUUUGGAGGGGCUGUAGGCGGGAUUAAAAGAAGGUUUGCAAAGGGAUUGAGGGAGAGACGGGCCAGUCGGGGAAGGGGCGGGGCGGAACCUGACGCUUGCAGGGUGGAGAGCGCGGGGAGAAAGGGGGAGGGGAGCGGAGCAGGUGGCAAAGCGGCGGGGUGGGGGGACAGGGAGGAGAAUCCAAGGCCCUGAGAGGGAGGGGAGAAGCGACACAGCAUGCCCGACCCGAGCGGGACGUGGCUGAGGAAAAUCCCACUCGCGGACGAGCCACUGCGCCGCUCUCCAGCCUGCCCGGGAGAGUCUAGAGAAAGGGCGUGUGACCGGACGCGUGCGCCCGCCUCACUGAAUCCGACCCGCCGCAGGGCCGAGGCCAACCGCCGCCGGAGGGGGCAGCUGCGGGACCCGACGGCCGGCCGCGCUGGGGGCGGGGAGGGAGGCCGCCUCGCCCACCUCCCGCCAGGUGACAGUUUAACUGUCUCCCCGGCGCCCGGCGGCAGCUCGGGAUGAGAAGCAUCCCGCUGUAUCGCUUCUCGGCCUUUUGGCUAAGAGCAAGUGAGAAGCAUCCCGCUGUGUUUCACUCGUCGCAGCUCGGGCCUCGGCGACGCGUUGGCAGGUGCUCUCUGUGACACAGAGCUUUCCUGGGGUGCGCGUGUAAGAGGAUUCGGGGCUGAUCGACGUGCGGGUCCUUGGGGAGCGGGGAAAGAAGGGACUCGGAGGGGAAGGGCGAGUGCCUUUCCCCAACCUGCGACCGAAACGCCCGGAGCUACAGUGGGCGUGGAAUCCGGCGUCGGUCUCGGCUAAAAAUAUGGCUCACAGGUAGCAACGGCGCCUGAUUGGCCGCGCCGGUUCCCUAGCAACCACGCGAUUGGCUGCCUGGUAACCAGGAGACGGACGUCAAACUCGGGCUGGGGACGGCGGAGAGACUUACAGGGGGAGCCGGGCGGAGGGGAGAGGCCCGGCGAUGAAUGGAGCAGGCGUCGCAGGCCUCCCCUGCCCGGUCCGCGUCCUCUCUCUCCAGGAGCGCUUCCUGGAAAAACACCAGCUGGGCGCCGCCUUCCCUCCUGACGCCAGGCCUGAUUCCUGAAGCUCGGCAGCGCUUUUUUUUUUUCCCCCCUAAGGAACAUAGAAGUUUUUCUCCGUGACUUUAAAUUCUGAUUCAUUUUUAGUACCUGGGUUUCUCUCUUUUUUUUAACCUGCCGGCAGAAUCAUCAAAAGAGUGGGAUUGAACUGUAAAACUAUGAUAAGCGUUUUAAAUGAGAAUAUCCCUUCACUCGCAUCGAAAUAUUUUAUAAAUUAUUUGUACCGUGCUUUUGGUGUUCUAUAAUGAACAUUCUAUUUGUAAUAAAGAUGGAUUAUUUUAAAUUUUAUAAUUAGUUGAGCAGAGAAAUGAUAAGAAAGUAGGUAGGAUAUUUUGGGAAGUGCUUAGCAAGGAGAAAUGCUAGAUUUCUCGUGCGUCCCAGAAGCAUAAUGUCUUACCAUUAGGCAAAUAAUGUUUCUGUACCAAACCCGCAGACUUGCAGGGCCAUGUGUUGAGCCAUGUGUCUUGAUUCCUAAUUUGGAAAAUAUAUUACUAUAAUUAGGGGAGCAUGUUAGGCUUGCCUGAAAUGAAAAUGUCUAACUAAAAAUAGGUGAAUCAUAAUUUUGUCAACCUUAUCUGUACUUUUCAUGAAUUAUCUAAAGAAAUGCACAAAUUUGCUUUUCUGAAUGUUCCCCAAUCUGUAAUGCCAGGAAUAAAAUACUAGUGCAGUUAACUGGUAGACACCAAUUAAAUAUCUGUAACAGUAAAUUGAAUUUCUAAGUCAGAAA